rnacentral:rRNA from 1 species
CCCUUAGAUGUUCUGGGCCGCACGCGCGCUACACUGACGAUGUCAACGAGUCUCUCCUUGGCCGAAAGGUCUGGGUAAUCUUCUGAAACAUCGUCGUGCUGGGAUAGAUCAUUGCAAUUUUUGAUCUUGAACGAGGAAUUCCUAGUAAGCGCGAGUCAUCAGCUCGCGUUGAUUACGUCCCUGCCCUUGUACACACCGCCCGUCGCUACUACCGAUUGAAUGGUUUAGUGAGGACUCCUGAUUGGCGCCGCCGCCCCGGCAACGGAGCAGUGGACUGCCGAAAAGUUGUUCAAACUUGAUCAUUUAGAGGAAGUAAAAGUCGUAACA